GGGGAUUUAGCUCAGUGGCACAGCGCCUGCUUUGCAAGUGGAAGGUCCUGAGUUCGAUCCCCAGUACCACCA
rnacentral:tRNA from 1 species